rnacentral:rRNA from 1 species
UACGUAGGGUGCAAGCGUUGUCCGGAAUUAUUGGGCGUAAAGAGCUCGUAGGCGGCCUGUUGCGUCCGCUGUGAAAUCCCGGGGCUUAACCCCGGGCGUGCAGUGGAUACGGGCUGGCUGGAGGCAGGCAGGGGAGAACGGAAUUCCCGGUGUAGCGGUGAAAUGCGCAGAUAUCGGGAGGAACACCGGUGGCGAAGGCGGGUCUCUGGGCAGUAACUGACGCUGAGGAGCGAAAGCGUGGGGAGCGAACAGG